AGGAAUUGUGAGGAAAGUCCGUGCAUCCAAGAACAGGCAUCCGGAGAAACUCCGGGCGGCGUGAGUCGGCGGAUAGUGCCACAGAAAUGAAUGCUUUAGCAGGUGCUCGGUGUCGGAGUCGGUUCGCGAUAGCGAAACGAGCAGGGCACGAGCAUUAUAUGACCGCCGUUGUGACUGAAGCGUGAGCUAAAGGAACGAAGCAAUCUAUGAUUGCACAGGCGGGAAAAUGAUAAAGCUGCAGACUGCCGAUGGAUUGAAAAAUCACAGGCGAUGGUGCAACGGUGAGUUAAGAGCUUCACCAGCAAAGUCGGAAGGCUUUGGCUAGGUAAACCCAUGUCGGAUGCAAGGUUGAGUUCAAAGGUUUUAAGGGUUGUUCGCCUACUUUGAGAAAGAACCGCUAGAGAUUAAGAGUAAUCUUAAUACCAGACAGAUGAUUAUCUAAAACAGAACACGGCUUACGGACUGCUUU
rnacentral:RNase_P_RNA from 1 species